AUGGCCGGAAGCCGUCGCCGCCGCCGCCGCCGCCGCGCUAGAGAGCUGCUGCCGCAGCAGGGCACCGAACCCUCGCCGCCGGAAGACGCCGCUCUGAGCUCGAGAGAAGUUACCACUGUGGAGAGUCCCUGCCCUGCCUCAGCCUCUACCUCUUCGCCUUUGUCUGGACCUCAUGUUUGUGCAGAUCUCCUGGACAGCCUGCUUCACGAAAUAAUUGCUCUCUUUAACUCAUUCCAAGACUUCCUUGCUUUCAUUGGCACCUGCCACUCAUGGCGCACUGCAGUCUCUACCUUUCCCUCUGUGUAUACAUUCAGCUUCCCGCCACUCCAUUUCAAACCAGAUGGUCCAUAUGUUCAUCCACAUAGUGGCGAUAUCAAGCCCAUCCUUUUAUCUAAUUGCAGAUGGCAGCUCAGUGAUCCUACCAAGAAAAACUUAUCCCUUGUGUGCUCAGUGCCUGAAAAUAGUCCAAAUGCAAUGCACUAUUUGGGCUGCUCAUAUGGGUAUCUUAUCUUCUCCUACGAGGAGCACUACCUCCUUGUGGAUGUGUACACUGGUAGCAAGGUGAAGCCCCCCAAACUCCCACCCAACAACAAUCUUGGGUACUUUUGUGGCAUAGGCAUCCUUACGGCUCCAUUAAUUUCAGCCAACUCUCGCCUCCUCCUUUUCUCGAGGGCUUCCAUGUUUGAGUGGCAGGUUGGAACAAACUCCUGGUCAGAGCACCCUCUUGAUCUUGGCCGCGAACGCAUCUAUCAGAUUGUGUUCUUCAAAGGUGAUAUCUUUGCCAUAGAUGCUCUUAUGAGGCUCACACUAUACACUUGA
rnacentral:rRNA from 1 species